UUUUUUUUUAUUUUACACACACAUAUAUAUAUAUAUAUAUAUAAUCGUAUUUUACAUCGCGAAAACAAGAGGAUUUUUUAGAGAAAUUUUACACUGUGAAAGAAUUUGAAAUUAAAGGUAAAAGAAAAUGAAAGAAGAAAAAAAAAUUAAAACACUUUAAUCUUUAUACCGUGUUUAUGCAAAUUUUUCUUUGAAAUUGGAACAAAAAGAUCUGUCUCAUACUUUCAACAAUCGUGAUGACGUAGUUUGUUUUAUAGAUAUUUUUCUCUCUCUUUCUCUCAUCUAUUAUAUGCAUUUUAUAGAUUUUUGUAUAUAUUUGAACGUGUCAUUGAACGCGAUGUAAAUUCUUCGCGAUGAACGUUGCGCAAUGUCACGAAGAUUCACAAGAAAGAAGAGAGAAAUGUAAUUGAUCUAUUCCUUCGAAAAGGGGAAUCGUUUCUUAGCAGAGAUUAGAGCAAUUAGCGAGAUACUCUCCAAUCGUGUCUAUUUGUACUUCGAAUCUCUCUAUUUUGUACGCGCGCUUUAUGGGGUAUGGUCACUCUAAACGAAUCUUUUUAACGAAUCGCACGAGAUCUCGCGAGGAUGAUUCAACAAAACGAGAUUCGAGAGGGAAAAAAGAAAAAAGAAAAAAAAGGGGACAUGAAAAUAUUCAUAGGUAGAGGAAAACUAGGUUUUACCAUCGAGAGAAAAGAUAUUAAUUCCUUGGUCUUCGACAAAUACGCACGCAAUAGAAUCGCACACGCGUUUAGUUUCACACUAAAGGGGAGGAAUAUUUACAUUCGCAGUAGAUCGUUUCUCUUGUUUAUUCUCGACAAGGUGCUAAACUAUAAAACUAUAUAUAAGAGUGAUUUAAUACGAAGUGAAUAUAUUAUAAAGGGAAAUAUCGUUGAUAAUAACUUGUUAAGAUCCUUGUAAGAUCGAUUUAAUAACAGUUACACUGAGGAUUAAUUAUGUUGCUCCCGAAUCCCGAUUUAGUGAUUUAAUUGUACUCGUAUAUUAUAUUAAUUAUCCGUAUUAUAUUAUACAGUAGCUCGAUUGUAAAUAAUUGUUGAAGUGUCUUUUAAAAAACAGACAAUAACUUGCGGGACAAGGAGUUGCCGCGUGAAACAUGAUGAAUCGCCGUUGCAAUGAAUAGUACAAACGUUUCUUUCACUAUCAUGUAUGUUUCGUGAACAUUUCCCUCCCAAACUGCGAAACGUACAAAUCUCGGAUAAAAUUCAUUCGAAUAUAAGUUUCUUGUUUCCCCGUAACGUAAUUAUUCUUGAGCCUCGAACGAUUAAGGUACGCACCGAGUUGACAAUCGUUUAACGAUUUAAAUUAUAACGUGAACGUAUAGUGUAAAUGACUAUACUGGUGGAUUUUUAUCCGAAUAGAAACAAAGAAAAAUAUAUUAUACACGUAAAACAUAGUCGAAGAAUAGAAGAGAUCGUAUCAUUUAAAUCGUUUUUCUUUUAUCCCGAUAUCUGAGUCGGUUGCCGAGACACGAGCAUUCAAAGUUUUCAUUAUUCUUCCACGAUUCGUAUACUACGGUUUCCAACAAUUCGAUCUGCCACUUGUUUGGAGGUUAGGAUAGGUUAGCAAGAGAAAGUGUGAGCGAGAGAUUCGACGGUAACGGAGAUAAACGAUUAAAAAUUAUCCUCUUCUUUACACGAUGAUAUCUUGGCAACCGGAAGUUGUAUCGAGAUAAACGAAAAAGAGUUUUAAAGAGCAAGAUUUCUCGUUUCUAACGAUCGUUUGCUCGUUGAUGGGAAGGAAUUAUCUUCCAAGUUAUAGCAAUCCAAAGUUUCCUUAAUUUUAAUAAGGUUUAAUCGGGUUUAAGAUAAAUGAUUGAAAAAUACCUUGCUCUUUGCAUGAUGAUAUCUUGGGAACCGGAACUCGUAUCGAGAUGAAUCAAAAAGUGUUUUAAAUGAUAAGGUUUCGCGCCUCUAACGAUCGUUUACUCGUUGAUCGGAAGUCAUUACUUUUGCAAUUAUAACGGUUCAAUUUUUUCUUAAUGUUAAUACGCUUUUAAUCGACUUUUAAGAUGAACCACGUAAUGAUUGCUCGCAUUUAAAGAUACUUUGCUUAAUUUUUAAUCGUCAAAGAAGAAUAUCAAAAACAUUUCUUCUUCAUAAUAUGAAAAAUAUGUAUUCGCAUAAAAAUCCGCAGCUUAGUUAUCCAACUUAAUAAUAAAUGAUGUUUAACUGAAACGCAUAUAUAAAAAUGCAACGAAUAUCUACUUGCAUCCUAACAAGACAAUAAUUAAUGGACAAUAAUUAAGGGAGGAAAAAAUUUUUUUUAAAAAAUAAACGAAUUCUUCAGCGCACUUUCUACGUUAAUUUUCCGCUUGCCAUCCGUUCGAGGAUCAAGAAAAAUAUAUUUCACAUCGGUGGAGCGAACAAAGAGUAUCGAUGAAACGUAUCAAUAAUAACGUAUCUAGAAAUGAUCGCGUGUUUGAUCAAAGAUUAGCUAAGAAUGUAAUAUCGAUAUAGUAUUCGUUCGUUAAGUUUCGCAUAUUUUCAUACCAACUCUGACUUGAAUAUCGUUUUAUUGUUAUUACUUUUUUUUUAUUAUUAUUUUUGUGCCCUGUAUUCGGUUCAGAACGCGUAUGAACGAGAAGGUCAUUUCCAUCCAUACUUAAGCCGCGAUUUAAACGCGAUUUAAGCGAAUCGAAAGAAAAAAAAAAAGAUAUUUAUUGGAAAGAGAUCGAAGCGAAGAUUUCACCGACGAUUCGCGUUUAUUCGAGUUUUAUCGAUGACACAAACGUAAGGCAACCAUAAUUUCGAUGUAGCUUGCGCAAUAAUGAAUAAGACAUAAAAGGACGGUGUGCGGGGGACGGUAGCUAAUGUUACAAUUAUAUAUAAAUAUAAUGAAUAUAUAUACACUGAUAUUACGUAUACGUAAAACUGUACAUAUAUAUAUUGUUGUCAGUUGAAUGUUAAAAUAAAUACCGCGGCGUAAA
rnacentral:lncRNA from 1 species